CUUUCCCCUCAGAUUGCUCAUUUCAAGAUCCCACGCUAUGUAACAUUUGUGAAUGACUAUCCGCUCACAGUUUCAGGAAAGAUCCAGAAGAACAAACUGCGUGUGCAGACAGAGAAGUUUCUGGCACUGUGAAGGUCUGUGAAGUAAGGAGAGAAAGUCGGGCUAGACAUGGUGGCUCAUAUCUCCGACGCAUGGCAUAUGUUUUCGCUCCACUCUGCUAAAGCACCUGCUGAAAUCAGUCAUUAUGGCUGAAUUUAUACAGGCAGCCCAAUUCUUAUCUUUUAUCCACUAAUAUUUUUUUUAAAGAGCUAAUGUGAAAAGAUCUGAUGUGAUUGGUCAAAAGACCAAUAAUUGGAAAAGAUAUCUAAAUUGGGCAGCCUAAGGGCUGAAGAUCCACUUCACAGAGCGAUUGACAAUUAAAGGCAAUGUUCCCGCAGUCACGGAGGCUGCAUUCACGGUAAACACAGAAAUGACCUUUCAAUUUUAAAUGUGGAUCUUCCACGAUAUGGAUUGAAUGCAGCCUUAAGUGCCAUCAUUUGUGCCUUGUUUAGUGCAAACCUUUUUGCAGAACCCAUUGGACUAAUGCUAUGUUUUAGCAGGCACAGUUUAACAGGAAAGCGAAGCCAUGUACAGCAGUCAGCUAAACACUGACAGCCAAAUGAUUUUACUGUAUUUCUAGGACCGAUCAUGUAAUUCUAACAGCCUUGAAACCACCUCAUCAAUCUGUGACUCGGAGCUCUAUUCAGUCUGUAAAAUUGAAGCGUUACAGAUUCCGUGAUUUAUCAAAUCUAAAAGGUCAUUUCCAAUUGAGCCGACAUCUGCAGGGUUUAACGCUGAAGAGGGAACAUUGCCUUUACAUUUACAUUUAACAUUUACAUUUAAGUCAUUUAGCAGACGCUCUUAUCCAGAGCGACUUACAAAUUGGUGCUUUCACCUUAUGACAUCCAGUGGAACAGCCACUUUACAAUAGUGCAUCUAGGUCUUUUAAGGGGGGGGGGGAGGGAGGGAGAAGGAUUACUUUAUCCUAUCCUAGGUAUUCCUAGGUAUUCCCAUUUGAGUGAAGCUGUACUUCAGCGACGCAGAUCGAAUAGCGUCCUUAUAUUACAGCUGCCUAUAUGUCAAAAUAAAAAACAUGUACCUUACCAUUCAAA